rnacentral:rRNA from 1 species
UAGGGAAUCUUCAGCAAUGGACGCAAGUCUGACGGAGCAACGCCGCGUGAGUGAAGAAGGAUUUAGGUUCGUAAAACUCUGUUGUCAGAGAAGAACAGCGCAUAGAGUAACUGUUAUGCGAGAGACGGUAUCUAACAAGAAAGGCACGGCUAACUACGUGCCAGCAGCCGCAGUAAUACGUAGGUGGCAAGCGUUGUCCGGAUUUAUUGGGCGUAAAGCGAGCGCAGGCGGUCAAUUAAGUCGGAUGUGAAAGCCCCCGGCUCAACCGGGGAGGGUCAUUUGAAACUGGUUGACUUGAGUGCAGAAGAUGCGAGUGGAAGUCCAUGUGUAGCGGUGAAAUGCGUAGUUAUAUGGAGGAAGACCCAUGGCGAAGGCGACUCUCUUGUCUGUAACUUACGCUGAUGCUCGAAAGCGUGGGUAGCAAACAGG